rnacentral:rRNA from 1 species
AGCGAACGUUAGCGGCGGGCCUAACACAUGCAAGUCGAACGCGAAAGGUCUUCGGACUGAGUAGAGUGGCGCACGGGUGAGUAACACGUAGGUAAUCUACCCUUUGGCGGGGGAUAACGUUCCGAAAGGAGCGCUAAUACCGCAUAAGACCACGGAGUCUCCGGACGCUGUGGGAAAAGGUGGCCUCUUCUUGAAAGCUACCACCGAAGGAUGAGCCUGCGUCCCAUCAGCUAGUUGGUAAGGUAAUGGCUUACCAAGGCGAAGACGGGUAGCUGGUUUGAGAGAAUGAUCAGCCACACUGGCACUGGAACACGGGCCAGACUCCUACGGGAGGCAGCAGUGAGGAAUAUUGGGCAAUGGGCGAAAGCCUGACCCAGCCACGCCGCGUGAGUGAUGAAGGCCCUCGGGUCGUAAAGCUCUGUGGAGAGGGACGAAACCCUGGUUUCAAAUAGGCUCCAGGCUUGACGGUACCUCUUUAGCAAGCACCGGCUAACUCUGUGCCAG